GUAAGCAGAAACUUUGAUUCCAGGGUUUGAAAUUGACCUCAGGUUUGUUUUUGGUUACAGCUCAUUGUUAGUCUGGAGAGAGUAUAAACAGAAGCCUGGGUUCAGAUGACUCACUAAGUUGAACCUUUGCUUAGCUCAUGGAAUGCAGUGGGGCUUACUUCUGAGUAAUGCACAGAAGUUGCCACGCAGGACAGUUAACAAGGGCCCACCUAAAUUUACAGACCUUUGAGGAAAGAUUAUUUCCUUCCCCCCAGCUUAUUUACUUCUCCAUCUUUUUUUCUAGAAUGUGGAAAGUGAUGUGUGGCUACUGCAUAGAGUAGAAGCAGGCAAACCAGGGUACCACUCACCACUCAACCAUGAAACUCCCUGGGUGACCUUGGCCAGUCACUCUCAGUCUAUCCUUACAGAGUUUUUGUGAAAAGGGGAGGAGAUCCACCAACGCCUCCUUGAGCUUUUUGGACAAAAGGUGGAACUGAUCUUAAAAGUAAUAAUAAAAAUAAAAAGUA
rnacentral:lncRNA from 1 species